CCUACGGGAGGCAGCAGUGAGGAAUAUUGGUCAAUGGGCGCGAGCCUGAACCAGCCAAGUAGCGUGAAGGAUGACUGCCCUACGGGUUGUAAACUUCUUUUAUAAAGGAAUAAAGUGAGGCAUGUGUGCCUUUUUGUAUGUACUUUAUGAAUAAGGAUCGGCUAACUCCGUGCCAGCAGCCGCGGUAAUACGGAGGAUCCGAGCGUUAUCCGGAUUUAUUGGGUUUAAAGGGAGCGUAGACGGGCUGUUAAGUCAGUUGUGAAAGUUUGCGGCUCAACCGUAAAAUUGCAGUUGAUACUGGCUGUCUUGAGUGCAGUUGAGGUAGGCGGAAUUCGUGGUGUAGCGGUGAAAUGCUUAGAUAUCACGAAGAACUCCGAUUGCGAAGGCAGCUUACUAAACUGCAACUGACAUUGAUGCUCGAAAGUGUGGGUAUCAAACAGGAUUAGAUACCCUGGUAGUC
rnacentral:rRNA from 1 species